rnacentral:siRNA from 1 species
UAAAUAUGAGCCUCUCCACCUA